GAUGAACGCUGGCGGCGUGCCUAAUACAUGCAAGUCGAGCGAACAGACGAGGAGCUUACUCCUCUGAUGUUAGCGGCGGACGGGUGAGUAACACGUGGAUAACCUACCUAUAAGACUGGGAUAACUUCGGGAAACCGGAGCUAAUACCGGAUAACAUGUUGAACCGCAUGGUUCAACAGUGAAAGACGGUCUUGCUGUCACUUAUAGAUGGAUCCGCGUCGCAUUAGCUAGUUGGUAAGGUAACGGCUUACCAAGGCAACGAUGCGUAGCCGACCUGAGAGGGUGAUCGGCCACACUGGAACUGAGACACGGUCCAGACUCCUACGGGAGGCAGCAGUAGGGAAUCUUCCGCAAUGGGCGAAAGCCUGACGGAGCAACGCCGCGUGAGUGAAGAAGGUCUUCGGAUCGUAAAACUCUGUUAUUAGGGAAGAACAAAUGUGUAAGUAACUAUGCACGUCUUGACGGUACCUAAUCAGAAAGCCACGGCUAACUACGUG
rnacentral:rRNA from 1 species